rnacentral:rRNA from 1 species
UACGUAGGGUGCGAGCGUUAAUCGGAAUUACUGGGCGUAAAGCGUGCGCAGGCGGUUCGUUAAGUUCGAUGUGAAAGCCCCGGGCUUAACCCGGGAAUGGCAUUGGAUACUGCAGAUCUGGAGGAUCGGAGGGGGGACUGGAAUUCUUGGUGUAGCAGUGAAAUGCGUAGAUAUCAAGAGGAACACCAGUGGCGAAGGCGAGUCCCUGGACGAUACCUGACACUGAGGCACGAAAGCUAGGGGAGCAAACAGG